rnacentral:rRNA from 1 species
AACGAACGCUGGCGGCAUGCCUAACACAUGCAAGUCGAACGAGACCUUCGGGUCUAGUGGCGCACGGGUGCGUAACGCGUGGGAAUCUGCCCUUGGGUUCGGAAUAACAGUUGGAAACGACUGCUAAUACCGGAUGAUGACGUAAGUCCAAAGAUUUAUCGCCCAAGGAUGAGCCCGCGUUGGAUUAGCUAGUUGGUGGGGUAAAGGCUUACCAAGGCGACGAUCCUUAGCUGGUCUGAGAGGAUGAUCAGCCACACUGGGACUGAGACACGGCCCAGACUCCUACGGGAGGCAGCAGUGGGGAAUAUUGGACAAUGGGCGAAAGCCUGAUCCAGCAAUGCCGCGUGAGUGAUGAAGGCCUUAGGGUUGUAAAGCUCUUUUACCCGGGAUGAUAAUGACAGUACCGGGAGAAUAAGCUCCGGCUAACUCCGUG